AAAUAUUAUUAUUUUAACUAUAGAACAUAUUUCGUACUGAUAUGUCUUAAAAAAUAAUGGCUUAAGAUCUAAUAUUCUAAUCUAUUACAAUUAAAAAUAAUGAUUUAGAAAAAAAAAAAAGUACGAAUAGUAAAUUAACCUGUUAAGGGUUGGCAAAAUAUAUGUAUUUAAUAUUAUUAUAUAAACAUAAAUGCUACAGAAAUUUACAUCAACAUUAUUCAGUUGACUAGGUGAGUAAUAUUAUUAAAUAGACAUUUUAAAAUAAGAUUAUAAAGAACACAUUUUUGAAAAAAAAUUUAAAAAGACUG